rnacentral:lncRNA from 1 species
UUUAACAGAAAAUCCUUCAAAGACUCAAUCAACAAGACAAGACUCACACAAUGGAAGGAUAGUCCCUGCUCAUGAGAGAUGAAGCUGGAAAGGCAAGCUGCAUCUGCACAUCUCCACCAGGGCAAUGCUGUGAGAUGUGGGUGCGAGUCAAAACUUGGAGCAAACCUCUCUUGACAGAUAAACUCUCUUGGCAGCAUAUUUAUUUCAGGGAUGCUCAUCUCUGGCCUGCAUAGUGGAAUUGCACAAGUAAUGCAGAACCACUUGAUAUGCCCUGGGGAAAUGCAAGACUGAGAUUCAGCCCUACAACAAGAGGCACAGCUGCCACAGAAACACAUUGCCCACUGGUGUGGAGACAAGAAAUGAGAUAGUGUGUUGGUCCAAGAAUUCCUGCCAAUGUGGUAAUGAAGAAAUGACCUGGACACCCCUCAGCUAAUCUCAAGAGCAGCCUACCACCAUGACAAAGGCUGUCGGGAUCCCUGCAUUAGAUCCCCUUGCCACUACACAGAAGACUCGAACACAUGCUCUCCCUUUCCUUGCCUUGAAGUGUCCUCCUAGAACCUGCUAUGGCACGCAAGAAAAAAUACAGUCUGCAGAGUCUACUUCCAAUAUCACAAACAAGGAGAAGCAGAGGGAGUAUGGAACUGAGAAUCAGUAAAUUAAUAAACCUCAGAGUCCAUCCUUUGGUUGACUUAGCAUCCAUGAGUACUCUUCUACACAUGCUUUCUAUUUUAAAAAAAAAAUCAAUGUUUUUACUUUACAAGAGGCAGCUAACCUCUAUAGAAGUGUCCAGGCUCACACAUUCUCCCCCAAAUGAGAAAACACACAUUCCAGACAGUCAUUGUAUUAAUUGCUGGCUAUAUUAUUUACUUCUCAAAAUUAAUCACAGUGCCAAUAAAUAUUCUGGUACUAAAUAAUAAUGUGAAAUUUAACCUGUAGAAAACUUGUGAUAUGGUUGCUGCUGUGUCCCCACCCAAAUCUCAUCUCGAAUUGUAAUCCCCAUGUGUCAAGGGAGGGACCUGGUGAGGGGUGGUUAAAUCAUGAGGGUUGUUUUCUUCCAUGAUGUUCUCAUGAUAUGAGGGAGUUCUCAUGGGAUCUGAUGGUUUAAAAGUGGCAAUUUCCCCUGGGCUCUCUCUCUCUCUCUCUCUCCUGCUGCCUUGUGAAGAAGGUACCUGCUUCCCCUUCGCCUUCCACCAUGAUUGUAAGUUUCAUGAGGCCUUCAGAGCCAUGAGGAACUGUGAAUCGAUUAAACCUCUUUCCUUCAUAAA